UAAAACCUCCUCGGUAAACCCAAGAGUGAGGUGACACCAGAGGAGCUGCGAAGAUGGGUGGAGGGGGGACUUAAUACAGGUUCACCGUGCUCACAUAGUCAAAGUGCUCAUCAACCGCUACAGCGAGAAGUUCCUGGACUGGAGAAAGUCCUCAAAAAGCAAUGUAACAUGGUGCUGGAGAAUGUGAAGGAGAUGUAGACCCGGGUCCCCAAGACAGACAAGGGUAAGAAGUAGUCCCCACCAGUCAACAAGGAC
rnacentral:lncRNA from 1 species